rnacentral:lncRNA from 1 species
AAGGAACUAAGGCAAGGCAGGAAUGUGUAUGAAAAUAGGAAUGUGUAUGUAAAUAGGAGCUCAGAGAAGAGAGAUUCCUUUUCGCUGAAGGAGAAUUGGGAAAGGUUUCAUGAAGGAGGUGGCAUUCAAGUUGGGUCUUAAAGAUUUCAUCCAGCAAAUUGGAUGCUGGCCACAGAAAAUUUUUUAUUAAAAAUACAUUUUUUCACAGAAGAAAAUUCAUUAAAAGUCAAGAAAGAGCCCCCAGAUGAAAUGGCUGACCUUUACUCAGGUGCACAUCUGGCCAGUCUUGAGGCUUUAAGACAAACUACGCAGCAGCAUUAGAGAAGUAGUAGAUUAUAAUGUGCGGGGAGGGGAGACGGACGUGAGCCUGGAGUCUGAGAGGGGCACUGUACCGUUUUUUCCAACACCCCCAGCUAGGAUUCUAGUGGAGUUAGCUAUGUCCACCAUGGCCUUAGCCUGAAAAAUAUGGGCAUUUAAGACUUCAGCAGGCCACAUUUAGCUCAAACAGGAGGAUUUUAUGACAGCCAAGGUAAAGAAGGGAGAUUUAAACAUUGUAACAGGUUUCAAGGUGCUAGAUUUUUUUUCCCCCAAGAAAACAUCUCCAAGUAAAAGUGAUAUAUUUCUAUUUGUGGAGAAGAUCCUAGUCUUCUCUGUAGUCAAUUAUGAACAGUGCAGUCUAGAACACUUGAUAUUCACAAGUGUUGUGUAAAGGUAACUAUAGGGCGGAUACCUCCUAAGAGAAAAAGAUGGUUCCCAGGCUGAUGGGCAUUUCCAUUCCUGCCCUUGGUAGGCUCACAGUGGUUUGUGGGAGUAACCAAGGCCAGAGAGAAAUCUAAGGACUAGGUU